AUUCCAGCUCCAAUAGCGUAUAUUAAAGUUGUUGCAGUUAAAAAGCUCGUAGUUGAAUUUCUGGUGGGAGUGUACAGUCCGACACUGAGUGUUGGUUCUUGUGUGUCUCCGGCCAUCCUUGGAGUGAAUCUGUCUGGCAUUUAGUUGUUGGGCAGAGUAUCUCCAUCGUUUACUGUGAGGAAAGGAAAGUGUUCAAAGCAGGCUUACGCCGUUGAAUCUUUUAGCAUGGAAUAAUAAGAUAGGAUCUUGAUACUAUUUCGUUGGUCUCGGGACGGGAGUAAUGAUUAAAAGGGACGGUUGGGGUUCUUCGUAUUCAAUUGUCAGAGGUGAAAUUCUUGGAUUUAUGGAAGACGAACUGCUGCGAAAGCGUCGAACAAGGACGUUCUCAUCG
rnacentral:rRNA from 1 species